UUCUAGAUGUUCUUCUCACCAUACCUCUUA
rnacentral:piRNA from 1 species